rnacentral:lncRNA from 1 species
GAAGUAUCAAAAUUGUUGAGAGGUUGGUUUGGAUGUGUUCACCAAUGAGUCAAAGUCCUUGCAUUUUGGAUGAUAGUUAAAAUUUUCAGGUAAAUUAAUUAAGGACAUUUCAAAGUUUGGUAAACCAUAUUAUUCAUAGUCUCUUUCAUGUAUCACAUCAAUUCAAUUUCAUAGAAAUAUCAAAAUUGUUGAGAGGUUUGUUUGGAUGUGUUCACCAAUGAGUCAAAGUCCUUGCAUUUUGGAUGAUAGUUAAGACUUUCAGGUAAACUAAUAUUAUUCAUAGUCUCUUUCAUGUAUCACAUUAAUUCAAGUUCAUAGAAAUAUAAAAAUUGUUGAGAGGUUUGUUUGGAUGUGUUCACCAAUGAGUCAAAGUCCUUGCAUUUUGGAUGAUGGUUAAGAUUUUUAGGUAAACUAAUUAGUGACAUUUCAAAGGUUG